rnacentral:lncRNA from 1 species
UGUGUGAAAACGGACGGCGUCGGGGAGGUGGAAACCGUAGCCGCGCCCUCUUGCUCCCGGCGCCGGGCAGGGCGGCGGCGGAGGAGGACGACGAUGCUUGUCGUCGUCGACUCGCGAGCCGAUUUUUUGGCCGAAUUAUUCGCGAAUAGCGAAUAAUUCGCGGAUAAUUUUUUUUGGAGAAAAAAACGCGUUUUUUUUCGCACUUUUGGGAAAAAUACGUUUCAUGCCGUUUAAUUCGGCUAAUCAAAAAUUCGAGAAUAAUUCGCGU